UAGUCCACGCCGUAAACGAUGCCUACUAGGUUGUGGUGGUUCUGACACCAGCACGGCCGAAGCAAAAGUGUUAAGUAGGCCGCCUGGGGAGUACGGUCGCAAGGCUAAAACUCAAAGGAAUUGACGGGGGCUCACACAAGCGGUGGAGCAUGUGGAUUAAUUCGAAGCAACGCGCAGAACCUUACCUGGGUUUGACAUGCAUGUAUGCUUGCCUGGAAACAGGUUAAGCUGCCCUUCGGGGUGAAACUUGCACAGGUGCUGCAUGGCUGUCGUCAGCUCGUGUCGUGAGAUGUCGGGUUAAGUCCUUUAACGAGCGAAACCCUUACCAUUAGUUGCCUGCGGGUCAUGCCGGGGACUCUAGUGGGACUGCCGGUGUUAAACCGGAGGAAGGUGGGGAUGACGUCAAGUCAUCAUGGCCUUUAUGCCCAGGGCUUCACACGUGCUACAAUGGCAAUCACAGAGCGACGCAAGACCGCGAGGUGGAGCAAAUCGCAAAAAGGUUGCCUCG
rnacentral:rRNA from 1 species